UCUAAUUUCUCGUCCCUUUACAG
rnacentral:miRNA from 1 species